AAAACAUCGAUUCCCGAAAGAUCACCGAAGUUAAGCAACGUCGAACCUGGUCAGUACCCAGAUGGGUGACCGCUUGACAGUACCAGGUGUUGUAG